GAUUAACGCUGGCGGCGUGCAUAACACAUGCAAGUCGCACGAAGUGGCGGACGGGUGAGUAACGCGUGAGUAACCUGCCUUAGAGAAGGGGAUAGCCUUUGGAAACGAAGAAUAAUACCCUAUGUUCAAAGAUGUACUUGCGUCUGAUUAGUUCGUUGGGGGGGUAACGGCCAACCAAGACAGCGAUCAGUAGCCGGCUUGAGAGAGGGUACGGCCACAUUGGGACUGAGACACGGCCCAGACGCUACGGGAGGCAGCAGUGGGGAAUUUUGCACAAUGGGGGAAACCAGGAUGCAGCGACGCCGCGUGAUUUAGAAGGCCUUCGGGUUGUAAAAAUCUUUUCUAUGGGAAGCAGUACCAUAGGAAUAAGGACCGGCUAAUUACGUGCCAGCAGCCGCGGUAAUUC
rnacentral:rRNA from 1 species